rnacentral:rRNA from 1 species
CCAAUAGCGUAUAUUAAAGUUGUUGCAGUUAAAAAGCUCGUAGUUGAAUUUCGAGAUCAAUUUGUCGGUCGUGCCUCGGUACGUACUGGCAUUAUUGAUUUCUCCCUUCUGACGAACCGCGAUGUCAUUAAUUUGGUGUCGUGGGGAAUCAGGACUGUUACUUUGAAAAAAUUAGAGUGUUUAAAGCAGGCGCACGCUUGAAUACAUUAGCAUGGAAUAAUGAAAUAGGACGGUUGAUUCUAUUUUGUUGGUUUCUAGGAUCGACGUAAUGAUUAAUAGGGAUAGUUGGGGGCAUUAGUAUUCAAUUGUCAGAGGUGAAAUUCUUGGAUUUAUUGAAGACUAACUACUGCGAAAGCAUUUGCCAAGGAUGUUUUCAUUAAUCAAGAACGAAAGUUAGGGGAUCGAAGACGAUCAGAUACCGUCGUAGUCUUAACCAUAAACUAUGCCGACUAGGGAUCGGAUGAUGUUAAUUUUUUAAUGACUCAUUCGGCGCCUUACG